UUUUUUUUUUUUUUUUUUUUUUUUUUAUAAAUGGUGAUUCUUAAGAGUUGACCGGUGAAUACAACCUUUGAAAGUUUUCCAAAAUUUUCAAAAGUUGUUUUUAAAAUGUCACUUUAAGUGAUACUCUUCUAGGAUAUAUGCAAGGAGUACAAAUUUUCAGACUCACCUUACCACAUGCUGGAGUCCCCAAGUGGGAGGAGUGUUGAGGUAGUCUUGAGGAAGAGUAGAGCACCAGACAGGUAUUCUAGGAAGAGCUAUACAGGCACCUGAAAAGGUACACAGUGUUCUCUUACAGUCCUGGCUAAUUUUUAUCUUAAAAAUGCUAAACCACCCCACUUUAACUUAUAAUCAUCAAAGAGCAAAAUACAUAAGCUUUAGCUUCAAAAGUUUUCCCAAGAAGAAUUUCUCCUCCCCUCUCUGACCUUCCCCUCAGUCAUCUGAACUGCCAUACUUGUGGGGUGGGUUUGUUUUCUGUUUGGUUUCAAUUAGCAUUUUUGUGCCAUUGAAAAAAAAGGAAUCUCAGUUGUUUCUGAAAAAGUUUGUUUGAUGGGCCCAUGGUGUUCUAGGAAAGACUAUGUGCCUUCUUUUUCUCCUGACCAAAGCUUCCUGCAAGACCACAGUAAUUUCUUGAAAGCAGUUGAGCAGUUAGACGUUUGGAAAACUGCCUAAAGUCAGGGCCUAAAAGUGACGUUGAAGGAGAGAUCUCAGGUUUUCAGUCUUCAAAAAUAAAAACCAAAACAUGCCACACUUUUCUUUGGUGAGUAAAAAUUAUUACCACUAGCUAACCCCAGAAAGAGCAUAACUUGGCACCAGUUCUCUUGACCAUUCUAUUGCCUAAUGCUGUGAGAAUGUGAAACUCUGCCAUUAGUUAUAAAGAAAGCCUAAGAAAGAAAUCUUGGCCGCAAGGCGGGAAUUGACGCAAUUCAGAUGUCUGCCCCAUUCAGACUAUGCCCUUAACAGAUGUUUCUGCAUUUAUUUAUAGAAAGGUUUACUUUAGUAACAAGACUAUCUUCUAUCAUCUACUUUUUUUUUGCACACCAAGACGCUUUUAUUAUCAAUAGAAAAAAGCAUCAAAAAACUUAAAAUCCUUAAAAUCUUAGUAUGAAAUAUCAAAUUAAAGUAUACAGUUCAGAAAGAACCCAAAUCUGAUGCAAGGUAUCAGAAAACAUAUAAAUUUCAAACACAACUGAGGAAGGGGUAAGUUACCUCAAAAUUUCCCCUUCCAUAGCUGGGCUUCCCCUAUAAGGCUACUAUACCUCUGAAUGGAGACAGUGUCUCUCAGUCUGGUUAACAGACUAAUAUUUCAUAUAACUUAAUAGUUGUAUAAAAAUAUCCAUUUCUGGAUUAUUUUUUACAUAGUGUUAUUGCUGCAGUGCAAAAUACAGACUAAUAUUUCAUAUAACUUAAUAGUUGUAUAAAAAUAUCCAUUUCUGGAUUAUUUUUUACAUAGUGUUAUUGCUGCAGUGCAAAGAUACAUUAGUGCAUGCUCCAAGUUGUAAAAGAGAGAGAGAGCAGCAUUCACAUUAAAAUUUCUCAUGAAGGGGAUCCCUGGGUGGCUCAGCGGUUUAGCGCCUGCCUUCAGCCCAGGGUGUGGUCCUGGAGUCCCAGGAUCGAGUCCUACAUCAGGCUCCCGGCAUGGAGCCCGCUUCUCCCUCUGCCUAUGUCUCUGCCUCUCUCUCUCUCUCUCUCUCUCUCUCUCUCUCUCUGUGUCUCCCAUGAAAAAAUAAAUAAAAUCUUAAAAAAUAUGUAUUUCUCAUGAAAAUAAAUAAGCUUUAAGCGAACUAGAUAUCACAGAAUUCCUGUUUCAUCAUUUUAUGUCAGAUGGGUUAGAGUUCAACUAGACCUAUCUACCUCCUAAAGAAGCUAAAAGAAAGACACAUAUUUAAGGCUCAUGUGUCUUGGUAAAAUAAAAGAGUCUGUCCAUGGAGCAUAUCAUCCAAAAAGCAAGAAGAGUCAGCCCUGUUGGAAGAGAGCACUGGAAGAUGAAUUAAAAACCAUGUGAGAAUGGCUAAAUAGACUAAGCAGCCUAAUUCUCACCCAUGGGCCUAGAAGCUAUCUGGAAUCUAGCCUGUUUGGAAAAGGGAUUCUUAUUUACUUAAAUAAAAAAUUUCACUUCUUACCCAUCUUUUCUUCUUUAAAGCCUCAUCUUUCUUUUCAGUUUUGUUUUGAAAAAAUCUUUUGAAAGUGGAAAGUGGGCACUUAAGAAGGAGUUUCUAAAACUGAUAUAAUCAUUAUCUUCUUUUAUCCAUAAAAUAAGGUUAUCAAUACUAGAGCCAAACAUUUAAAGGCUAAGAAGAUUAUUGUUCCUAUUUCCUCAUGUGUAAUUAAAAAAUGAUACUUGGGCAGCCCGGGUGUCUCAGCGCUUUAGCACCACCUUUAGCACAGGACAUGAUCCUGGGACCCGGGAUCAAGUCCCCCAUCAGACUCCCUGCAUGGAGCCUGCUUCUCCCUCUCUUUCUCUGUGUCUCUCAUGAAUAAAUAAAUAAAAUCUUAAAAAAAUAAAAUAAGAAAUGAUACAUAUAUGCUAACAUUAAAAUCUCUUUUUAGAUUUUUAUAAUUGCAAAGUUCUGGAUGAAUCAAGGUUCUUUGGAAUGGGAUGGAAGUGUCCUGGGAAUGUGCUUGGGAUGCCUGUGAUAAAUGCCAAAACUGACAAGAAGCAAGGGUGUCAGACCCUUGUAUACUUGUACUCACCUCUCUAAGUCUCCUGUGAGGCUUUAAUCCUCUCUCUACUGAUUACUAUAACCAUCCUAACUAUUCAACCCAUUACCCAAACCACUUAAACAGAAACACACACAAAAAGACCAAAUCCUAUCAUUCUACUGUUUUUAAAAGCUUCCGCAAAAAAAGUUCGAAUUUCUUUUGUUUUGCCUGUAACUGUGGUGACAGUAUUUUCCUAACCACAAAUAUGGACAUAAGAUCUAGCAACUGUGAGUGGUCAUGAAGGCAGUAAGAGAUUUGUGAUUUAAACUGAGAUAAUCUCAGAAAAUUUACAAUGUACCUGAGACUCUUCACAUCCUUACAGGCUACUGUCUAAACUCAUUUCUAGUCAUUCCCUUGAAGUUACCACAUGACAUGCUCCAGCCCCAACCCCACUGCUCUAGCUCUAGUUUAUGCUGGCAUAUCAUGCCUGGGUUCCACCAACUUUCUGUGCUGAUCAAACUCCAAUUUACCUUCCAAGAGACAACCAAAUGUCUUCCAACCCCAGGAAACCUUCCCUCAUCCAAAAUGAUCCUAAGAAUUCUCAAGUGGUGGGCUAAGAGGACUCUCUGGUACUGUUUCCAAAAUCCCCACAAUGCUAUAAGGAAGGUAAGCUAUAAAAAGGGAAUAAUCAGAAAUGAAAACUAAAGAAUAGAAAGGUUAAAUAAGUGGUCCGAGAUCAUAUAGCUAAUAAACAAGGGAGCCAGAAUUGAACUCAGGCAAAAUGACCUCAGAGCCCAUGUUCUUGAAUACUGACCUCAUCAUCUCCAGAUGUAACUCUGUUAUAAUACUUGGCAUAAUUAUAAUGAAAUAUUUGCCUUUCCUUGAGGGUAGAGAAAUUUUGUAUUGCUGUCUAUAUUCACGUUGCCUAGCACAUAAAAGGUGCUCAGUAAAUGUCUGUUGAGGGCUUGAUGAAUUCAGAGUUUUAUGGAAUGGCAACAGGUUAUUCAGUGAUGCUAAGCUUAUCAUCAGUGGAAGUCCUACCAAAUUAAAUGAUUUCUUUUACCCAGAAUUCUCCUAUGACCAUAUGUCUGAAAAACAGAUCUCUAUUAUGGAAGCAACUGAAAUGUACCAAUAAUCAACGUAUACCAACAUGUGUCAUUUGGUGUAAAAGAUGUAAAAAUUGAAAACCUCUAUACUCCAAUAAUUAUAUUAUUUUUGAUAAAAUUAAAAUUUAGGUUAUUUGAACAUUCACUGGGCCCUUGCACGUAUUAGAUUAGACAUUCUAGUUUGGUAGCCAGCCUCCAAGAUCGUUCCCAAAGAUCCUUGCUUCCUGGUCUUCACACCUUUGUGUAUUCUCUUCCCACUAUGAGCAGAGUUAACUUGUACAGCCAGAGGGAUUAUCAUGGAAAUGAUGUAUGACUUCCAGGCUAGGUCAUAAGACAAUGCAGCUUCCAUCCUACUCUCUCUGUUCGUGUUACACAGAUGGUCAAAUAGCCCUAAGGAGAGAUCCACAUGGUAAGAAACAGGCAUCCUGACAACAACCAGUUCAAAUUUGCCAGGCAUGUGAGCAAAUCACCUUGGAGGUGGAUUUUCCAGCCCCAGUCAAGCUUUCAUAUAGACUACUUGUAACAUGGGAUGACAUCUGGACUUCAAUCUUAUGUAAGAUUCUGAGCCAGAGCCACCCUUCUAUGACAUUCCUGGAUUCCUGAUCCAAAGAAACUAGGUGAGAUAAAACAAAACAAAACAUUUAUUGUUUUAUGUCCUUAGGUUAAAUAUAUUCUAGGCCUAGGCUCAGGGCAAUUUAUAAUGCAGCAAGAGAUAACUAAUAUAUAUAUCUAUUGUCACACAGCCUUUAUUUAACUUAGUUUAUAAUGAUACAAAAUAGAAGUUACUGAUGCAAAUUCCUAUACAUUGAACAAAACCAAAAUAGAAUAAGAAUAACUUCAGAGUAAAAUAAAUUCCAGUUUUCAAGAGAUGUUGCCUCUCUUUUUUUCUUCUUUCCUUCUUUUCUUUUUUCUUUUUUUCUUUCUAAAGUGAAAUAAGGCAUCUAAGCCCUUCAUUUGCUUGUAGGUAUCUCUUAGUGACUGCUGAUUAAUUGUUGGGUAUAUUCCCUUCCUCUAAACUAGGCCCACCAGAUGGAUAAUCAAUGGACAAGUGGCAUUUUUAUAACAGCAGGAAUCAGAAAAGAUCUUAAUGCUCUAGUUGUUCAAAUCUUAUAGGUCAUAUGAGAAAAAGCCUAAAUGUUUUGGAGGAAGCUACU
rnacentral:lncRNA from 1 species